GGACCGAAAACGUGAAAAUGGCCUCCGGACGCGUCUUCGGCCAUGAAAUCAUGUGAUAUAGGUCACGGUUAGGCCGAAAAUGUUGACACCACCAACGGGGGUCGAAAACAUGGGGAUGGACCAAAGACGUGAAAAUGGCCUCCGAACUCGUUUUCAUUGUGUGCUAUAGGUCAGGGUUAGCGUGAAAAUGGCCAUUCCGGCAACCGGCAUCAAAAACGUGUCGAUGCCGAAGACGUGAAAAUGGCCUCCGAACUCGUUCUCGACCAUGAAAUCGUG
rnacentral:lncRNA from 1 species